UGGCGGCGUGGAUAAGACAUGCAAGUCGAACGAGAGAAUUGCUAGCUUGCUAAUAAUUCUCUAGUGGCGCACGGGUGAGUAACACGUGAGUAACCUGCCCCCGAGAGCGGGAUAGCCCUGGGAAACUGGGAUUAAUACCGCAUAGUAUCGAAAGAUUAAAGCAGCAAUGCGCUUGGGGAUGGGCUCGCGGCCUAUUAGUUAGUUGGUGAGGUAACGGCUCACCAAGGCGAUGACGGGUAGCCGGUCUGAGAGGAUGUCCGGCCACACUGGAACUGAGACACGGUCCAGACACCUACGGGUGGCAGCAGUCGAGAAUCAUUCACAAUGGGGGAAACCCUGAUGGUGCGACGCCGCGUGGGGGAAUGAAGGUCUUCGGAUUGUAAACCCCUGUCAUGUGGGAGCAAAUUAAAAAGAUAGUACCACAAGAGGAAGAGACGGCUAACUCUGUGCCAGCAGCCGCGGUAAUACAGAGGUCUCAAGCGUUGUUCGGAAUCACUGGGCGUAAAGCGUGCGUAGGCUGUUUCGUAAGUCGUGUGUGAAAGGCGCGGGCUCAACCCGCGGACGGCACAUGAUACUGCGAGACUAGAGUAAUGGAGGGGAAACCGGAAUUCACGGUGUAGCA
rnacentral:rRNA from 1 species